CCGUAGGUGAACCUGCGGAGGG
rnacentral:rRNA from 3 species